CAAAAUAAAUAAAAUGAAAGAAAAUAAAAACAACCAACCAGAAAACUCCACGUAAAUAAUUAAAUAACAGUCGCAGAAGCAGCAGAUGCCCAAAAAUAAGGACAUAGCUUAAGCGAAAAAAAAAAUUUCAGCUGCUACGGCCUACGAGACGACAAGGAGAAGGAAAAGAAGAAGAAAAUGGUCUAUUACGUUAGCUUGUUGUUUUACGGAGUGGGAGGGAUAGUGGUGGUGGGGAUGGCGUUGCUGGUGGCGUUUCAAGAGAAACUCGUUUACGUUCCGGUUUUGCCGGGUCUAACCAAGUCUUACCCGAUAACGCCGGCCCGACUCCGACUCGACUACGAGGAUGUUUGGCUCAGAUCCUCCGAUGGAGUCCGACUCCAUGCUUGGUUCAUCAAGCUCUUCCCUGACUGCCGAGGUCCAACCAUCCUGUUUUUUCAAGAGAAUGCUGGAAAUAUUGCUCACCGUCUGGAAAUGAUUCGCAUAAUGUUACAGAGGUUACAGUGCAAUGUCUUCAUGCUUUCAUAUCGAGGUUAUGGAGCAAGUGAUGGUUAUCCUUCUCAGCAUGGAAUUAUUAACGAUGCUCAGGCUGCAUUGGAUCAUCUCACUCAGCGGACAGAUAUUGACCCAAAUAGAAUAGUAGUCUUUGGAAGAUCACUUGGGGGUGCUGUCGGAGCUGUACUCACCAAAAACAAUCCUGAUAAGGUUGCUGCAUUGAUACUAGAAAACACUUUCACAUCUAUUCUGGACAUGGUUGGAGUUUUAUUGCCUUUCCUGAAGUGGUUUAUUGGAGGCCCUGGUACAAAAGGUCCCAAAAUUCUUAAUUUUCUUGUUCUCUCUCCAUGGAGUACCAUUGAUAUCAUUGGCCAGGUCAAGCAGCCUAUCCUUUUUCUUUCUGGCUUGCAAGACGAGAUGGUUCCCUCAUCCCACAUGCAAAUGCUGUAUGCUAAAGCAGCAGCUCAUAACAGGCAAUGCCUCUUUGUAGAAUUCCCUACUGGUAUGCACAUGGACACUUGGUUAGCUGGUGGUGACCACUACUGGAUAACAAUUCAGCAGUUUUUUGAAAAACAAGUGCCAGAGAAAAAGGAAAAUGAAUCAUCACAAAAUGGACAUGCCCAAUUGAGAAACAAACAAAAUCAUCAUCAAUUAGCCAAAUCAAAACCAAGUAUAGCCAAAUCAUCAUCAAGCAAAACCAAGGCUGGCAGAAAUUAGCCAAAUCAUCAUCAAGCCUAUUCCAAAGUCCAUCUGGGUUGACAGUCAUGAACACUGAUUCAAAAAGAUUUCCAGAGGAGAUGACUGGCUCGCAUGUAUCUUUUGAGAUUUUAUUGUUUGGCUCAGACCCUGAAUCUUAAACUUUGUGCCUUUUUCUUUUGAAGCUGCAGCUGUUAGAAGCACUCUAUAACAUGCAGCCUGCUGUCCUUGAUCAUUCUCUCCAAGAUUUUUUGCUGGCAUACAAAACACAAGCUGAUGAAAAGGAUAACGAAAAGAACGUAAACUCCCUUUUAGUAUGACUUUGACAAGUACGCAAAAUACCAUAUUAAUUCUGACUGGUUCCAAUGUAUGAAAUAAGAAGACUCUUAAAAAAAAAUGCAGAUGUAUGGUUGGUGCUGAUAUGCUGAGCUAUUUGUAUCUCUAUUUUUCUAUGGGACAGUCAUAGGUGUAUCACCAUUUGUUUCACAAUUUAGGUUUUUUCGAACUCUUCUCUUUUCUAUUGUCUUGUUGGUAAUUUUGAACUGUUAGUUUAUAUGGAAAUUUUGGUGGAAACUUGAAACGUCUUUCACUUUUUAUAAGAUGUACAAAAAAUAAGUCACAUGAAUUGAGACGAAGGUUCAAUUUAUUUGGAAGAAACUACUGAUUCAGACCUUAAUCUUGGAAUUCAGCUCAAAACUGAAGCAGCAAAGAAGGUAUUUUUUUGUCGCAUUGCCCUAUCAAUAAAAUA